CAUGCAGUCGAACGAAGUAUAUUUUCGGAUAUGCUUAGUGGCGGACGGGUGAGUAACGCGUGAACAAUCUGCCCUAUACAAAGGAAUAGCCUCGGGAAACCGGGAUUAAAACCGUAUAACACUUUUAGGUCGCAUGACUUAGAAGUCAAAUUGAUUAAGAGGUAUAGGAUGAGUUCGCGUCUGAUUAGCUAGUUGGUGAGGUAAUGGCUCACCAAGGCGACGAUCAGUAGCCGGCCUGAGAGGGUGAACGGCCACACUGGAACUGAGACACGGUCCAGACUCCUACGGGAGGCAGCAGUGGGGAAUAUUGCACAAUGGGCGAAAGCCUGAUGCAGCGACGCCGCGUGAGUGAAGAAGGUCUUCGGAUCGUAAAACUCUGUCCUUGGGGAAGAAAAUGACGGUACCCAAGGAGGAAGCCCCGGCUAACUACGUGCCAGCAGCCGCGGUAAUACGUAGGGGGCGAGCGUUGUCCGGAUUUACUGGGCGUAAAGGGUGAGUAGGCGGUUAAUUAAGUCAGAUGUAAAAGGCGUAGGCUCAACUUACGUAAGCAUCUGAUACUGGUUAACUUGAGUGCAGGAGAGGUAAGUGGAAUUCCUAGUGUAGCGGUGAAAUGCGUAGAUAUUAGGAGGAACACCAGUGGCGAAGGCGACUUACUGGACUGUAACUGACGCUGAGUCACGAAAGCGUGGGUAGCAAACAGGAUUAGAUACCCUGGUAGUCCACGCUGUAAACGAUGAGUGCUAGGUGUUGGCUAGCGAUAGUCAGUGCCGACGUAAACACAAUAAGCACUCCCCCUGGGGAGUACGGUCGCNAGACUGAAACUCAA
rnacentral:rRNA from 1 species